UAGCUGCUUAAACAACACACUGCGCCAGGGGAAGAAACUCAGACAUCGCAGCCUCGCAAUCUACCGCCUUAAUUCCCAGGCGAGGAGGUGGUUUGCAGGCUUUGUAAGAAAGCGGAUAGCUCGACAUCUAACCCUUCCCAUCAUCAACGAACGAGUAUGAGGAAUAUGAAAAGUUUCGGGAACCCGCUGUCCAAGACAAACAAUCAGCUAAGGCGAAUUGACAUCGAUUCUGAGAGUGAGGAUGAGGAAAGACAACCCAGGAAAAACCUUCCAAAACCACCUGCUCCCCCUAAACCACCUGCGGUGCCCACCAUCAGAAGUCACCAAGCAGCGUCAUCCACCACCACCAGCCACUCUCAGAACUCAAACACAGCUACCUUCGCCACCCGCCAAUUAGCAGCUCUGAACCUGACGCUUGAGUCUGGAGCAAUCAGAAAAAAUUGGUGCAUCACCUGGCAGCCACUGGAGGAAGGGAGCUGAAGGUUGCAGAACAGUACAGCUUCCAUGGACAGAAGGACAAAAAAAGCACUUGGUGGCGGUGAUAUUUAGGGCUGUUGAAAGAACCAAGGGUCAGAUACUCUGACAGAUACUGAGAUCCAGGCUGUGGUGGGAGAUUGGCUGAAACAUGCCAAGUGUCGUAAAGACAAAGUUGGCCAAUCCAGAACGUGACAGGUCUGAUGAGGAGGAGGAACCCUAAAAUCAGACUGUGCAGCAUUGCUGGUUCGAACUGUUUCUCUGUACACACACAACAGUCUUCUACUCAGUUUACUGGUGGUCCAAAAAUGUUGUUUAUUCAUCCAAGAAAAAGUGC